UGCCGCGUGUAUGAAGAAGGCCUUCGGGUUGUAAAGUACUUUCAGCGGGGAGGAAGGGAGUAAAGUUAAUACCUUUGCUCAUUGACGUUACCCGCAGAAGAAGCACCGGCUAACUCCGUGCCAGCAGCCGCGGUAAUACGGAGGGUGCAAGCGUUAAUCGGAAUUACUGGGCGUAAAGCGCACGCAGGCGGUUUGUUAAGUCAGAUGUGAAAUCCCCGGGCUCAACCUGGGAACUGCAUCUGAUACUGGCAAGCUUGAGUCUCGUAGAGGGGGGUAGAAUUCCAGGUGUAGCGGUGAAAUGCGUAGAGAUCUGGAGGAAUACCGGUGGCGAAGGCGGCCCCCUGGACGAAGACUGACGCUCAGGUGCGAAAGCGUGGGGAGCAAACAGGAUUAGAUC
rnacentral:rRNA from 1 species